UAGUAAUUAGUUUAAAUAAAAUAAAUGAUUUCGACUCAUUAGAUUGUGAACAUCUCACAAUUACUAA
rnacentral:tRNA from 1 species